rnacentral:rRNA from 1 species
GACGAACGCUGGCGGCGUGCUUAACACAUGCAAGUCGAACGGAAAGGCCCUGCUUUUGUGGGGUGCUCGAGUGGCGAACGGGUGAGUAACACGUGAGUAACCUGCCCUUGACUUUGGGAUAAAUUCAGGAAACUGGGGCUAAUAUAGGAUAGGAGCUCUUGCUGCAUGGUGGGGGUUGGAAAGUUUCGGCGGUUGGGGAUGGACUCGCGGGUUAUCCGCUUGUUGGUGGGGUAGUGGCUUACCAAGGCUGUGACGGGUAGGCGGCAUGGGAGCGGGACCGGGCACCUGGCGACUGAGGGACGCACCAGACGCCAAUCGGAGGCAGCAGGGGGAAAUAUUGCACAGUGGGCGGAAGCCUGAUGCAGCAACGCCGCGUGCGUGAUGACGUGCUUCGGGGUGUAAACCGCUUUCGCCUGUGACGAAGCGCGAGUGACGGUAAUUGGUAAAGAAGCAACGGCUAACUACGUG